rnacentral:rRNA from 1 species
AGGAUGCGAGCGUUAUCCGGAUUUAUUGGGUUUAAAGGGAGCGCAGACGGGUUUUUAAGUCAGCUGUGAAAGUUCGGGGCUCAACCUUGAAAUUGCAGUUGAUACUGGAGAUCUUGAGUGCAGUUGAGGCAGGCGGAAUUCGUGGUGUAGCGGUGAAAUGCUUAGAUAUCACGAAGAACUCCGAUUGCGAAGGCAGCUUGCUAAAGUGUAACUGACGCUGAGGCUCGAAAGCUAGGGUAGCGAA